UCAACAUCCGGUGUAAUUUUUGCUUGUAUUUCGGAGAAACUCGAUUGAUUUCUAGCAAACUUGGUUUACCACUACAUCGUCGCUUAUUAUUAUUUGAUACUGCCGAUGGUGAAGCUUGGGUGCACCGGGCCGGUUUUCCAGCCGUGUGGAAUCAACAUCUCCAGCUGAACUGGGGCCGGGAAUUAUAUAAGACUCCUUAGCAGCAUGAGUGCCAGCCAGUCAUUGCUGUUCUUGCAUUGCUGAGGAGGACAGUCCUGCCAACAUAACAGUUUGUUCAAUAACAGGAGACAAACAGAAACACAGAGGUGCUAUACAUUCUGAUGGAAAAACAAAAGCAUCUCCCAUCAUUUUGGCGUGGCUCAGAUCAAGAGGAGAAUUUUAAGAAAGGUGAUGGUUGGGCACACACAAGAAGACAUAGAUCACAGGUGUCUAGCCAUAUGAGUAGAUAGGAGUGUCACACUCUGCCAAACUUACUUCAUCAGACGAGCAGAAAGCUUCUCAAGAUCCCGCACUGCACACUAAGACAUAGUCUUUGACUACAACAAGGUGAUGAAAGUACAGAGGUCCAAUUGAAAUCAAUUCUGUGCUGCUGUCAUUUCUUCAUUCUGGAAGUCGAUGGACAUGAUUUAUUAUGGCAUCAAGUGUGCAGUUUGCCGACUAUCAGCAGUCUUGUUCACCAGCUGUGCAACUUGAGCUGGUAGCUUUAUUGCUUGAAGCCACUGCAUAAGAGGG